UUGGUUUCUCUCAAACUCCUAGGUUCAAGAGAUCCUUCAGCCUCAGCCUCCCAAAGUGCUGGAAUUACAGGGGUGAGCCCCAUGCCUGGCCAAAUCUUUGCUUUUUACACUUUAUAAGACCUACAAAAUUAACAAAGUUAGAUAUACUUCUUAAGUCGAGGGUAAAUCCUUCUUUUCAUCUCCCACUGUUCCCAUCUCAGCCUAUAAUGUAGAAAAUUCUACAUUAUACUUACACCUUUUUAGGAGAAUACUAGAGGGAACAGCUGCAGCUAUUUUUUCCACCUGCCUUCUGGGUCUCUGACCUGGGGGAGCUAAUGACUUAUUUAGCUGUGGAAGAAGAGAGUCUGUUUCUAUUUUGCGGAGGGUUAAUGUGUUAAAGCCUCCUGCUUAAUGUGGCUCAAUCCCACCCAGUUAAUAAUUCUUGCCCUUUCUUGAGCUUGCCUGCCCUUGAGUAGGGCAUGCACUUGGCAGGAUCAAAACCAAACACUCCUGGCUCCUGAGUCUUGAUCUCUCCUACUGCUUGCUCAUGAAUAUGCUUCUUUCUUCCCAUGUAAUAGGCAGACUUCCUAGAAUGCUCUUCUUCUCUGAGAGGAGGCUUCAAUUCUUCAGCUGCUCUACCUGUGACUGCAUGGGUAAGUCAAAUGUGGGGCUAGUUAUGUUGUCCAGCCAAGUUUUACCAAUAAAAAUAAGCUAAUAUUUUUAUUCCCCCACAUAGUACUGUGUAUGUUUCUAGUUGGAUCUAACCUAGAAGGGAAGAAGGGAAUGAUUUGGCUCCUGUGAACCCCCAACACUCACAAAAUGAAUUCCCAUAAUAAAGUGAUAUCAGG
rnacentral:lncRNA from 1 species